rnacentral:lncRNA from 1 species
UUAACUUGUUAAAUCAUAAAAAUUCUUUCUAAAAAUGUAUACAGAAAGAUAUGGAUGUGGGGUUAUAAUUAAAAAGGAAAGCAAAAUGGCCUUCCCCAAAACCAGAGAAACCCUCCACUCAAACCCACAGAUGAGUCGAUGAGAGGAAAAACGGGACAUACUGAAAAGUCUUGGAAUGUGGAUACUAUCACUGACCAUCUGG